AUCCGUUAGUUCACUCAUGAUUUCGAGAAGUCACAUCAUCAACGUGUAUCUGAAUUGCAACGGCUUCGCUCUAUAUUUGGAACGAGUGAAAGACAGUGGGUAGAAGCUCAAGUUGAGAAUGCUAAGCAGCAAGCUAUUCUCAUGGCACUUAAAGCUCAAGUAACAUCAGAUGAAGCUCACAUACAUCUUGAUCUUCAUUCUCUUAGGUAGAAGAUCUCUAUUUUAUUUGUGAUUCUUGAACAUGGAUCCUUGUUGUUCAUUGAGCUCCUUUCAGUGUUGUUAGCAAGAUGUAUUACUUGAGCUGAAAUGAUAUGCAUGAAAAUGUCUGUGGGGAUAUUGUUCUCCUAGAUAGGCAA